GCCUGGCCCUAAAUCUAGAUGCUUCCACUACUAAAGCAUCCGCCUGGGGACUACGAGCACAAACGCUUAAAACUCUAAGGACUUGGCGGUGCCCCAAACCCACCUAGAGGAGCCUGUUCUAUAAUCGAUAACCCACGAUAGACCCGACCACUCCUUGCUAAAACAGCCUACAUACCGCCGUCGCCAGCUCACCUCCUCUGAGAGUACUACAGUGAGCACAAUCGCCCUAACCCCGCUAAUAAGACAGGUCAAGGUAUAGCCCAUGGAGUGGAAGAAAUGGGCUACAUUUUCUAACCUAGAAAAUUCACGGAAGGAGGUGUGAAACAACCUCCAAAAGGCGGAUUUAGCAGUAAAGCGGGAUAAUAAAGCCCUCUUUAAGCCGGCUCUGAGGCAC
rnacentral:rRNA from 1 species